GUAAGUUUCUUGAGAACAGGCAUUUUUGUUUUCUCACAAAGCAUUGGUAAAUCUCCAUACAGAUAAUAUGCGCCCAUCAAUGGUUGCUGAACAGUGAUCAGGUUCUGAAAAAAAGCAAAAAAUACUGACUUGUGAGCAAGUUUAACAUUUGAAGUUCAAAGACAAUGGUAUCAUAAAUUUAAAUUGCACAGCAAGGAAUAAAAACAAGACAGGCAUCAAGUCUGGUACAGCUUCAUUUAUUUCUUACUCUUCCUACCGAAUUGAGUUUGCAUCCAGGUACUCCUCAUGCCUCCGUUGGCAGAAUGAUGAUGUAAUGAACGAACAGCAUUUACAGUAAAUGACAGCAAAUUGCUCUGUAAUUCAAGGGCUAACCCAUGUGCCACACAAUGAUCUUUUGAUGUCUGUGAAUUUCUUCAAGGUGGGUGGGGAAGCUUUUUGCUUGUAGGGAAGGCUCUGGAUGGACUGAGCCUCUGACAUAUCAACUGUAAAUCCUGGAGUCCUGGGGCUUUAUUCGGAGGAAGAAAGCACCUUCUACAGGCAGCAGUAGAGUGGACUGUCCCAGAAUCGAGCCCACUGCCCUGAGAAUUGGACUCCACAAUGGCCAGUUGGACAUUGUCCUUGUGCCCGGAGGGGUGACCUACACGUGGGACAGGAAAGGACAUUGUGGCUUCAUCACCAGAAAUGCUCUGCCAGAUCAAGUAAUGAUUGGUUCCACUAAAGGCUUAGUAGAACAGCCCAUCUGUGUGACUGCUGCAAAAGUGGGUGACAAACUCUACACCGGGGGUCUGUCCUGGCUGAGGCAGGUUUGCACCCUGCCUGGGUGCUCAGCACUUCGUGUGAAGGGAAUCAUUCAGGGCAGUCACAAGCCCCUGCACCCGGGAGUCCACCCUGGAAGCCAGGGGCUGGCCCAUGGCUUCACACACACGGCCAGUGGGACUAGGACUAAGUGAGCAGAGCCCAGUUCUUCUCGUUCCCAGUGUGAGCUGAUGUACAGGCACCUCCCUGUAACUGGAUCAAAAGGGGACUGUUUGGCAAAUACAAAUCAAAGCACAGUCUAGGACCCAGCCGAUUAGAGAGAAGGCAUGAAUCAGAGAAGAGAGAAAAUGGGAAGAGGUCAGAGAUAAAGGCAAAGCGUGGUUGAUGAGAACUGCAGAAGUACGUGGGAGGGGUCAGUGUUCUGAUUUAUUGACUACCUUUCAACUCAUUGUUUAGCGUCAUGGGAACAAGGCGUUUAUCAGACAAGAUCAGAAGUUUAAAGGUGGCCAGCUUUAUGGGGUUAAUAACUCCAUGUCCAUGUUCCCUAAGUGAAGUGAAUAGUUCUUUGUGCUGAUAACAUGCUGACGGUUUAACGGUGGUUUAGAAAGAGCACAGACCACAUGUGAAGAAGUAACCACUUACCAGAUGACUGUGAAGACAGAAAUCAACAGAACCUGCAAACACGCUAUUUUCCUGGACCUAAAUAAGUGCCCAUUCAGAUGGUGACUGCUUUUUAAAACCUUUAUUUUUCUCUCUAUAGGCUUAACAUAUGUAAUGUAAGGAGCCGGGAAUCUCUGCAGGUUAAACUGCUGAAAAGAAAGCUCUGAUGAGCUACGGAGGAAUGAGACAGAGUUCUUACACAGGGGUGGAGCGGGGGACGCUUUCUGGCUUCAUCGUGAUUCACUUACUUGCCUUCGUGUGAGUCUCCUCCUUUUCUGAAAUAAAACCCAUCCUAAAGGACAAGGAUUGUUCAGUAAGGAAAUUCAAGAGAUUUUCAUAUAAGCUUGAAAGUAAUCCAGAAAAGGAAUUAUAAAAAUGCUUUGAACAGUAGCUGUAUUAUUUAAGUCCACUUAUUAGGUGGCUGCUUUGAAGAGACAAAUGUUUAUUGGGGUUUUUAAGUUCUUGUGCAUUUGUUUAUAGGAGAGAGAUAAAGGAAUUUCCAUCACGUAUGGGCAUAUCUUGUCUUGACCAGCUAGUCCUCUUUCCUAUGAUGCUUCUUGGACUUGUGCAGAAAGCAUUGCCCCUCCUUACCCCAGGGCCAAGGACCAGCUGACUUCUCACAGGGCUGACUCACAAAACCAUCUACCCGAAGCAUCUCUACUUACCUGACCUGGGCACUGAAGCGCCUUAUCUUGUUUACCUCAGAAUCCUCCAAGGGCAUGGAAAUCACUAGAAAUCAAGACAAGUCAGAUAAAAGGAUUUUGUGCUACUUCCAGGUGUCCAGGAGGUAAAGUUUGGAUGCUGAAAUGUCAAGAUUUACAAGACAUUUCAGUGGCUUAUGAGAACAACAGAACCAUGUACUUGAAGUGGAAAAUAUAACAGAAAAUCUGGAAAGCCACAGCUUUCAUACAGCUGUACAAAUGACUAGAUUAUUGCUCUAACAUCUAUCUGAGGAAAUAGGAGUUUUGCUGAAGGAUAGGGACAACCAAUGUGGACCCUGGCUGUCUUGGGAAAUUGUAACACUUUUGGGGUGGCAACUGGGAAGAGAGAGGAUGAGGACAUGAGAAGGCAGGGUGUUAAAUAGCAACAUAAAACAAGGGAAGGCAGAUUAGAGAGGUAGGCAGCUGUGGCAGACACAGCCAACCAUAUUUCCCUCAUAACAGCUCACAUAUCCCCUCAGGGUACCAAUGUGCUCAGCUUAGAACACACAGCUUCCCUGACUCCCUUGCAGCUAGGGUUGACUGUGUGACCAAGGUCAGCCAAUGAGAUGCGCUUGAGUGACAGACUGAGGCUUCUGAGAAUGCUUUUUGAAGGAGAAGUAGCUGACAUGUGUUACUUGGAUUGUUUCCCUUUGCCCUUCUCCCUUCUCCCUGGGCACAGAGCUGGAAUGCAGAAGUAGGAACCAUCUUAAUGCUACAGGAUAAAUGCCACAUGCUAAGUGUAACAGAAGAGAAAUCUAGAACAAGCCUGGAAACUGAUCACACUGCAGAGCUGCCAUGCAGCCUUGAAUGACUUCCCCCAAAAAAUCUUCUGUUAUAGGAGAACAGUGAACCUCUAUUCAGUUGAGCCAUCAUGCUCAGGCUUCAGUUUCAUAGGGCCAUCUGGACCAAGUCCUAAUUUAUGCUGUACUCCAAUAUAUCAGACCCUGGACAGAAGGCCAAGAGGCCAGAGUUUCAGUCCUGGCUCUGUCCUGGCUGUCCUUAUUUAUGAGUGUGUGACUUAGGCAAACCACCUAGGACCCCAAGCCUCAAAUUGGGGGUAAACUAACUGCCAAAACAACAUCUCACAGACUGUGUUGAAACUAAAAUUAUUUAAAAGUAUUUGAAAAGUAUUAACAUUAUUAGGAAGGUAAAGAAAGGGGUUAAUUCAGUAAGGCCAGGCUUAAGAGAAGACAUUAAGAAAAUGUGGUGUUUGGAAUUCAAAGUCUAGGAAAGGAUGGCCGGGCAUGGUGGCUCACAUCUGUAAUUGCAGCACUUUGGGAGGCCAAGGCAGGUGGAUCACCUGAGGUCAAGAGUUCGAGACCAGCCUGGCCAACAUGAUGAAACCCCAUUUCUACUAAAACUACAAAAAUUAGCCAGUCGUGGUGGCACACGUCUGUAGUUCCAGCUACUCAGUAUGAUGAGGGCACGAGAAUCACUUGAACCUGGGGGGUGGAGAUUGCAAUGGGCCAAGAUUGUACCACUGUACUUCCAGCCUGGGCAACAGAGUGAGACUCUGUCUCAAAAACAAACAAACAAACAAAAACAAGUCUAGGAAAGGAAACUUCAUACAUAGCACACCUGGAGAUGAUAUGACAGUUGAGGCCAGGGAAGGAGCCAACAUUAGCAAUGGAUUCCCACGUAUUUCCAGCGGGCAGGUGGGUCCAGCAGCAGAUGUAGCCAGAGAUCCUGGUACCCAAAGGCCCAGUGGGAUUAGACUGUGCAGCCUAUACAGACCAGAUGAUAGCACAGAGAUCAAACUGCCCCACCACAGAACUUCCUCUCUGCACAGGUUGAAGGGAAAGAGAAAUGUGAAACACUAAGUACUUAGCCCAGUGAGAUUAAGUUCAUCUGGUAGAGAUUGUGUAAGCCCAGUUGGAAAUAGUGGCUCCUGGGACAUUUGAGAUCUAUUAUAGAAAAUAAAGUUAUAUUUCUCUGUGUAUUUAAACGUUGUAAAUUUCAGUGCCUUUGCCCAUAGCUACAGAAAGCUUAAUGUCAGUGGGCACAGGAAGGACAGACAGGGUCGGCCCUGGAACUAGAUACCCCUGCUGAGCUCGGGCAGGUGCUAGGGAUGCCUGAAGAUGAGGGAAAAAAAGCAAGUCAUGCAGGUAAAACACAAUAGCUAGAGACAGGCAACAGGUGGUAGGUAGGCGUAAAGGUGUGUGUGGGAUGGACCAUAACAUGUGAGGAGGUGGAGUGCAGCACAGGGAGGCCCAGCUGAGCUGAGCCCAGCAGAGAUAUUAGCAGACAGCUGUGGGGGAAGCUGGCCAUACCUACAGAACCAGAGCACAGGGGAGGAGAGGCAGAAUAGUGCCGGGGCCACAAAAAGGAAAUAGCAAGAGAACACAGAGUUAUGGUCCAAAGGGGCAAGGGGACAGGGCAAACAAUCAUCGGCACUAGAGCGAGUCCCCAGGAUGUGGCCUCCAGAAGAAGUGACAGCCUGCGUAGAAUCAGACAGCGCAUCCAGAGUGGGGGUUUCGUGAGCAACGCUUCAUGUAUCCUGUCUGAGGAGGGGGCUGGGUCGAGCCCCUG
rnacentral:lncRNA from 1 species